UUUAUGUGCUGUGUCGCUCAUCAACUGGAUGUGAAAUGGAUUUGUAGCUCAUAUCACAGCCAGCUUUGAUGAGCGCUACAACAUCUAA